rnacentral:lncRNA from 1 species
AGUGCAUCCCGCCCUAAGCCAGCGGGGCGACCUCACCUUCAGAGACCUCAUCUGCGGGGCUCCCACCUGGCUGGAUCCCGCGCCCGGGGGUCCGGGCGCCGUCUGGAGCUGAGCAGGCAGAUGUGCGGGCGCCGAGGGUGGGGCGAGGGCUGGGGGCGGGCAGAGGGAGGGGAAGGACGGGCUCGAGCGGGACCUCCCAGGGAAACUGAGUCAGUCUGGCUGUGACCAGGGGCGGGCCCAGCAGAGGACCCACACAGAUGGAGGGCGUGGCGGCACAGGACGCCCUGGGGUCGCGGCCUGGAGGGGUCCGCGGGGGCUAAGCCGAGCUGGGACGGGUGGGGGCCGCUGGCAGCCCGCGGCUCGCUCUCUCCGUCCAGUCUCUGUCUCCCGCUGUCUCUCAUCAGCCCCGCCCACCCUGCGCUGGCCACGCCCCUCGGGCCCGGGCCUGGCUGACUUGGAGUCAGUGGGUGCCCCCCGCACGCCGGGACACCCUACAGCCUUCUGGGGAAGGCGGCGCCCUUGGGACCCCCAGGCCACCGGUGGCAGGGAUGCAAUGGCCCGCGUAGGGGUGGCAGGGGCGCUUCCUCGGGAGCCUCAGCCCCUCCAGCCGCCCAGCGCCCUGCCAGGCCUCUUCCCGGCGCUCCCGCCGCCAGGCCCGCAUUAUUCACCAUCUGGGCAGCACCCAAGGCCUGGAGGGGGCGGGGCAGGUCCAGGCGGAUCGGCUCCCGGGGGUCGCCCAGACUCCAGGGCUCCAAAUUCACUGGGUGCGCUGGAACGCGGCACACAGUAGUAGUAUGCCCUGCUUAAUACAUACAGGACAUAUUUGAGGCCCCUUCCAGGGGUGGGGUGGGAGGACAGAGGGAUGGGGGGUGCACCAGACGACACAGCCAGACUGAGAAAGGUGGUCCCAGAGCAGGUGAGCCGGGAGGGCUGGGGUGAUGGCAUCGCAUGGGAGGGUCUCUUGAGGAGGCUCGGAGGUGGCUUUGGAGCCAGAGGAGGAACAGUCUGGAGCCGGGAGGCUGCAGUGGGGGAUGGGCACUCUUUCCUGGCCACCCCCCAGCUCGGGCUGGGGAAGGAGGGAUGGAGCCCAACAGGAAUGGCUGAGAAGGUGCCGGACGCAGGGACUGGGACCGUCUCUUUGCAGAGGGGGGACCUUGGGCUUCCUUGGCCUUGUUUGUACACCCGAGCCGGACAGAACCUUGAGUUAGGGACCUGGAGUGGGACCGGACAAGCUGACCUUGCCCUGACUGCACCCCACCCCGUCCCCUGGGCCCGGGAGGGCUGCUAGUCCAGGCUGUGAGUGAGGGGUAUUCCCAGCCUGGCCCGGCCCUCUCGUCAGCCCAGUCCGGAAGCCCCUUCCCCGGCUACCCCGCCCACUAUCCUUCCUCCUCCUGGCCUUCGGCCACACCCAACCUCCCUCCCAAAGCUCUAUCCCAUUAAGUCACCAGCCAUUUAACACAACUUCUCUCUUUCCUGGCAAGGAGGCUAUCCAACUCCUAUGGAUGUGGCAAAACCCUGGCUCCAAGGCUGCUUUCCCGUGAAGCCGACCUAAUCUCCAAGUCUUACUCUCCCCAACCCCUCUCUGUGUUCAGCUUAUACAGUGGGACAAUUAUGAGCUCCAAGUGAGACCUGAAACCAGGCCUGCCCUUCAGGAUGCCCUAGGCUGGAGAAUGAACUGGACACAGGCUGUUCCAGCCCCCUGGGGUCAGGGCUGGGCCAAAGGAAGAGACAGGGCCUAGGGAAGCCCAGAGGUGAGCUAGGAAGACAUCUUGUGAGGAGAGGGCAUGGGAAGUGGGGUUUUGUAGGAUGAAUAGGAGCUCCCCAGGUCUGGGCUACGUGGCAGUGACAGGAAUUGCAUGUAUAAAGCUUUGGAGGCAAGAGAGAGCAUGAGGCCCUUGCUACACUAACUGCAAGGAGGGCAGAUGUUGGGGGAGGAGGAUGUGGGGCUGGGGCUCCAGAUGAGGGGGCAGUGAGAGACGGAGGAAGGCUGUCCUGUCCCCACUUCCUCUGUCCUCGGCCCUGAGAUAACAAGGACAAUGACUCUUCUGGGAAACAGCCUGGGCAGAGUUCAGAGAAGGACACUUGCAUUUAGCUUAAGCCUCACCACAUCUCUGCAAGGCAGGGGGUAAAGAUACUCUUAAAUUUUAGAGAUGGGGAAACUGAGGCACAAAGGGGGAACAAUGCCACGCCCAUGUGUGGGAUUGGAACAUGAGCACUGGGCUUCCCUGUCAUCUGGGGCUGGUUGCUGGUCUCCCGGUCUUGGCCCGCCCCCCGCCCCCCACCCCCCGCCAGCACUUCGGGUUCAAUGGGAGCACAGGAGGCUCUGGUGGGAGGAGUUGUGAGGGGCUGGGGGGCAGAUGGUGGGAACAGAGGCCAGGCUCAGGAUGUACCCCCGUGGCUGCGGUUUCCGGCGGGGGCCGGGCAGGGAGCGUCUAUUCUUAGCUCUGGACACAGCCAAAGUCAGGAAGCUGGGUGGGGGCGGGGGCAGCUUCCAGGACACCAGGUGGACCUCGGGCCAUGGUGGAGAGUCAUGGGGUAGAUGGGGGGGUGGUGUGCAGAGCCUACCCCUGGCCCCCACCUCCAGUCUGCCUGCAGGGUCUCGACACCCAGCUCGGAGGCCCUCCCCAGCUCACGCGCCCUCCGUAGCUCCCUGGUGCCCAGCUCCCCUAGGAUCUGGCUCAGUGCCCGUGACCCUUCAGGGGUCCCAGGGCCCCAGCUCUGCUCCCUCCAGACUGGGGCCCCUGGCAAACCAUGUGUCUUGCCAGUUGGAGGACAGCCAUCUCCCUUGGGGUGCAAAAGGAACGUGAGGAGGAGGAAGCAGGAUGCUGGGGCUGGGGGAAUCUCUGCAGGGGCAGGUGGGGAAACUGAGGCAGGGACGGGGUGGUGGUCUGGGAUUGGGAUUCUCCAGGGUAGAGAAACCCAGCUUCUAAUACUGGCCCUGCCACUUUCUGGGCUCAACAACGUGGGCUUUUGUGAGCCUCAGUUUCCCGAGCAGCCAAAUGGAAGUAAAUACUGUCACAUAGAGCUGGUGGGAGGUCUGGGUUAGGCCCAGUACAGGCUGGGCUGCGCCAGCCACGCACACACAACCUGGGCUGUGACUACAGAACCCGGCCUGUCCCAAACACCACUCUGGGCUCAAAAGUGCCUUCUGGUGUUGAGGAUGUAGAAAGCUGUGAUCACGCCCACUGCACUCCAGCCUGUCUCAAAAAAAUAAAAAGUGCCCCCCGAGUCCAGCCCGGACUCAGCCCUGCCCCAGCAGCCUGUCCUGAUCGGCGGUGGAGCUGGCCAGGAACCCAGGCAAGAGGCUGCCCAGAGGAUUCUAAGAUGGCUCUGGCCAUCUGCCAUCAACUUGUGAUGUCUGCUGAAGGCUGGGCUGGGGAUGGCAGUGUUGUGUGUGCUGCAAUGCGAUUUGGGAUUCUGGAGUAGGCUGGUCAGGGUGGGCCAGGGUCUGCGGUGUGGAGAGCGGACGCUGAUCAGAUGCACUUCCCUGGCCAGUUCCCAAGCCCUGUGCCACAGACUUCCGGGAUCCUGUUAGAGGUGGGGGCUGGGAGGUGACCAGUGCCCCAGGGGAGUGCAGGAUCUGCCUUGCACCUCUGCCUACUGCAGUGAGGACAUUUGGGGAGGCUCAUCCUGGGCACUGAAGCACAUUGGGCAGCAUCCCUGGCCUCCACUCACUCCACGCCAGGAGCAGCCCCAAGGUGGGACCACCACGAAUGCCCCCAGGCAUGGCCAAGCGCUGCCCCCAUGAGAGCCUGGGCCCAGGCCAGCAGCUGUGUCCACCCUUGUACCCUCCCUCCUGUCGUCUGGGAAAUGGACUGUCACCCCCACUGUGGGAGGCAAGGCAGAGGGGUGGGGGGCAAAGACAGAUCCGGGCACUAACACAGCUCCCAAGGGACCACCGGGCCCCAGUUGGGUGCCGUGUUGUUUCCCAGGCUCUUCCCUUGGGACAAAUGCGCUGUGUCACAAAUGCCAGCAGCAACUAGGGCAGCGGGUGUGGGGCGUCGGACACGUUACACUCUCUGCAUUUCUGCAAACCUAAGAUUAUUCUAAAAUACAACGUUUAUUAAAAAAACAUGCGAUCUUGCCAAUAGGCCAAUUCCAUGAGAACAAAAGAUUUUUUUUCCC